rnacentral:tRNA from 1 species
AGUAUUAUGUCUGAUAAAAGUGAUAAAUUGUAAAUUUAUUUAUAGGAUUAAAAUAUUCUUGAUACUA